GACGAAUCGUGCGACCGUUAUUCGGAAUCACUGGGCUUAAAGGGUGCGUAGGCUGGUUGCCAAGUCUGUGGUGAAAUCCUCCGGCUUAACCGGAGAACUGCCGUGGAUACUGGCGACCUCGAGUGGGGUAGGGGCUUGCGGAACUGUGCGUGGAGCGGUGAAAUGCGUUGAUAUGCACAAGAACUCCGGUGGCGAAGGCGGCGAGCUGGACCCUAACUGACGCUGAGGCACGAAAGCCAGGGGAGCGAACGGG
rnacentral:rRNA from 1 species